rnacentral:lncRNA from 1 species
GCCCACUCUCGACUCACUCGGCCCACCCUCGGACCACCCUCGCCCUCACUCGGCACACCCUCGGACCUCCUCGGCCCACCCUCGCCCACCCUCGGCCCUCCCUCGCCCACCCUCGCCCUCCCUCGCCCACCCUCACCAUCCCUCGGCCCACCCUCACCCACCCUCGCCCUCCCUCGGCCCACCCUCUCCCUCCCUCACCCUCCCUCGGCCCACCCUGGCCCACCCCUGAACCACUCUGUUUGUCCCCAUCCUCCAUUACCCUGCCCGUGCCCAUACCCCCAUCCUGCCUUCUCCCUUGCCUCACCCAUGUCCACCACUCCCUUGCUCCCCAGGCCCUCUCCCCACAGACCUGCUCUCCCUGCUCUGUCCCUGCCCUCGGCGCCUGUCCCUGUGCCACUGUGCUGGCAGCAAGGCCUAAUAACUGCCACGGAGGAUGACAUCACAGAAGUCUGGCCUGUGCCAACAUUCUGUGCAGGAAUGUUUGUUCCCGUUCUCUGCUGGGGGAGUUUUUUCAUGGCGGGGCCUCAUCCUCGACGAAGCUGUGGGACUCAGAGCCAGGCUCUGUGUGGCCCGACGAUCCUGCUGACCCUGGCCUCCUGCAGACCAUGGGCCGCCAUACCCCUGGCCGCAUUUCCAGCUUUUCAAGUGGGAAGAAACCACCCCGUGUCCCAGGACUUGCACUUCUGUGGGCCAUCCUCAGCAAGACAUUUUCAUGGAUAUGAAACUGGACACCGAGUUGACGCUGAAGUUCAGCUGCUGGGUCAUCUUCCAUUUCUGGAGCCUGCUCAGCUUCCUUGUAAAACCCGGCUGGGCUUUCACCCUGGACAGGAGCAACUGGUUCGGAGUCAGUGGGGGUGGGCAGCGGCUCAGCCAUGAAGAAGCCGAGAAGCGAUGUCUGCCUCCCCUCCUCCCUCCCAGAAGAUCUGGAUGUGAAACUAACCCAGAGUGGACGCUGAAGCUCAGCUGCCAAGUAAUCUCCCAUUCCCGGAGAGACUGCACAGCUUCCUGCUCAAUGCCAGCUGGGCCUUCAUCCUGGAGAGGAGCAACUGGUAACAGCACUGUCCCUCGUGCCCUCAUAGCUAGAUUGCCAAGCAGCUGUUUGGAAGCAAGUCUUCCCACUACACCAGCCCUGCACAUUGUGUGUCCUCCAGAGGCACCAUAGAUUGGAAAUGAAUCCUGGUGCCUGGCUAGCAAGACAGCAGUAGCCAGUGAGACAUGACGAGAUCUCAGAAGGAGAGUAUAUGUGUGAACUUAUCCUCAGGCUCCUCUGUACCCUAGCUUUACUGCAAACACACAGGUAAAGUAUAAAUGGUGUCCACCUCAGAAAUGAAUCGCAUUCUGAGGCUUUUUACUCAUUCUCCUUCUAGUGCUUGGCUUACAGAGUGGGUAUAGAAUGAUGGAGUUACAUACAUGUGUGUUACUUUCUGAGUGCAUCCUUUAAUUCUCCCUGCCUAGGGCAUCAUUGCUCUUCAAGGGCAGGGGAAAAACCACCUCAGAUCAUAUAUUUAUAUCUUCUCUUCUCCCUGAACACUUUGUAACUCUCAGAAUCUUCUAGAAUCCAGGCACAGACAUUCAUGGAUACUCUAUCUUUUCAGUAGGCAAGAGAUUUUAGAAAGGGAAGCAGUUCUCCUGCCCUGCACCUAUUUUCACUGCACAAAAGUCAGUCAUAUCAAGUGUACAAGUUUAGUAACUGGAGGCCACUGGUGGGCUGCAGCCCAAUUCCAAAAGAAAGACAAUUAUUAUUUUUGGAAACAGUGUCCAAACUAAAAUAAUGCAGAUACAGUAGCCUGUCAAUAGAGUCCUUAAUAUUUUUCCUAAUCCUUUUUAUCCUUGGAGUUGGUGCUUUCUCAUGUAAAGAACCUACAGAAUCAUAGACUUAAUGCUGACUUAAGUUGGCUUUCCCAAAUAUCAAAUAUCAGGCAUUAUCUGUAGUUGAGGACCUUCAUGAGUUUGAAGAUCAUGUCAUUUUACACGGAGCCUUCUCUGUAAGGAUAAGACAAAGGGAUUUGUCCUUUGCUAAAAUGUUCAGUGGUGUAGCAGUAGAAAGGGGGGUCUGCCACUGUAGCACAGUGAGCUAAGCUGCUGUCUGCAGUGCCUGCAACCCUAUAUGGGCUCUGGUUUGAGUCCCAACUGUACUGUUUCUGAUCCAGCUCCCUGCUGAAGGCCUGGGAAAGCAGUGGGAGAUGGCACAAGUUCUUGUUCCACUGCACCCCCUUGGGACAUCCAGAGGAUGCUUCUGGCUCCCGAGUGGGGCCUGGCCUAGUCCUGGGUAUUGCAGCCAUUUGGGGAGUACAUUGAAUAUCUGUCUCUCUCUCCCCCUCUCCUUCUCUCUCUCUCUCAAACUGCAUUUCAAAUAAAUUUUAAAAAGUUCUUACUAGAAGAAAGAUC